CCCUAGCCCUGAUAGAAGUGGAAAUCCUUUUGUGUCUCGUUUUUUUAACGAGACACAAAAGGAUUUCCACUUCUAUCAGGAUUAGCU
rnacentral:sRNA from 1 species